UACGGAGGGUGCAAGCGUUAUCCGGAUUCACUGGGUUUAAAGGGUGCGUAGGUGGGCAGGUAAGUCAGUGGUGAAAUCUCUGAGCUUAACUCAGAAACUGCCGUUGAUACUAUCUGUCUUGAAUAUCGUGGAGGUGAGCGGAAUAUGUCAUGUAGCGGUGAAAUGCUUAGAUAUGACAUAGAACACCCAUUGCGAAGGCAGCUUACUACGGAUAUAUUGACACUGAGGCACGAAAGCGUGGGGAUCAAACAGG
rnacentral:rRNA from 1 species